rnacentral:pre_miRNA from 1 species
UCAUGAUGAUGAUCGUGAUCAUGGGGGUGGUCAUGGUCAUGACCAUGAUGAUGAUCGUGAGCGUGGCCAUGCGCAUGAUCAUGCGGAUGG